UCCCUGGAAGUCCAAUGGUUAGGGCUCCAUGUUUUUUACUGCCAAGGGCCUAGGUUCAAUUCCUGGUCAGGGAA
rnacentral:tRNA from 1 species